CCUACGGGUGGCAGCAGUGGGGAAUAUUGGACAAUGGGCGAAAGCCUGAUCCAGCGACGCCGCGUGAGUGAAGAAGUCUUUCGGUAUUUAAAGCUCUAUCAGCAGGGAGGAAAAUGACGGUACCUGACUAAGAAGCCCCGGCUAACUACGUGCCAGCAGCCGCGGUAAUACGUAGGGGGCAAGCGUUAUCCGGAUUUACUGGGUGUAACGGGAGCGUAGACGGCCAGACAAGUCAGAAGUGAAAGGCCAGGGCUCAACCCUGGGACUGCUUUUGAAACUGCCGGGCUGGAGUUGAGGCGAGGUAAGCGGAAUACAUAGUGUAGCGGUGAAAUGCGUAGAUAUUAGGAGGAACACCAGUGGCGAAGGCGGCUUACUGGACUGUAACUGACGUUGAGGCUCGAAAGCGUGGGGAGCAAACAGGAUUAGAUACCCUAGUAGUC
rnacentral:rRNA from 1 species